UUGCGUCACUUCAGUAAACAUGCACAACAAACAGACUGCAAAAUAAUGUCAUGAUAUAAAGGCAGAGUGAAACAGCACCUUGUAUGUUUGCUAUUCCACAAUGUCAAUUACUGCUACUUAGGGUGACUGAUGUGUAAUGGGUCAGGCUUCAGCUCUCAUAGACCGCCCAGCAUACUGGAACCAAAAAAAUCUACACUGUGCUUCACUCCGUGCCGUUGGAGCAGGCUUCUCAGUAGAGUGUGGUCAGGAGGUGACUGAAGUGACUGAAGUCUAGCCAUGUUUAAGUCUGUUUAUUAUCUCACAGAACCUGGACACAAGCCACCAGCUUCACGAUUUUGUCCACCAAGUUAUGGUUAAAAUGGUCCAAAUGAGUAGAUGAACUUUUACUAAAUGAUGAGGUGGAACAUCUGACCAUGAAUAUGUAUGCAUAAUUUCAUCUUUCUGUGUCCACUUGUUUGAGUUAUAAGGUAUUUUGAGGUCAAAACUUUUUGGUCUGUAUGGUCUCAAAAUGGUACAAAUUUUGUGCGAUUCGGAUGAACGGUCUAGGACAAGAAAAGUAGACUUUUCACAUUAUGCAAAUUCGUAAAAAAAAAAAUCUAAGUAGGCAGAGAUUCACAGUCCCAAUUGCAAUCUUUUUGACAUGAGCCAGGGAAUGUUUUGGGGAAAAAAAGAAUUUUGUUUCUAUGAUUCAAGGUUCUGGAGAUAUAGGCCAGAAUUUAAAACACUGUGCUAUAGUGCCACCAUCAGGUCAAUAGGUAUAAUUCUGCUUGCCUGAGUAGUGGGGGGGAAUUCUGCACCACUCCACCAAAUUGUGUUUCUACAUCUUAUGGUCUCUGCUCCCCAUAUUGUUUUAGUGCAAAAUAAGAAUAAUAAUAAGAAAAGAAAACAAGAAUAAUAAGAAAAAUCCUAGCAAACACAAUAGGGUUCCAGCACUGCAUGAUUGGACCCCUAAAUACAUUACACAGCUGCAUCAUAUGAUUCGAUGUAAAAGAUAUGUGAAAUGAAUUUUCCUCUUAGAAACCAGUACAAAACCUCGGUACUUCAGUCAUAAAACUAUAGAUGGAUAUGACACACACAUCAAUAAAAAUUUAGCUGGAAAGAUAUUUAGAAUACCUUUUACAAGAACAUCUGAUCAAUGGAUUUAAAAAAAAGUUAAAGCAGAAUGCAGGUGGAUUGUGAACAAAUGUGACCAUGGUAACAUGGAACCAUAAAAUAUAAAUCACACUAAGAUGAAUCAAUAGUAGACAUGUUUUGAAGGUUGGUGAGAACAAAAUGUCUAAUAAAAUCCUGCAAGCUAAACACAUGAAACUAAGGCUACAGUGGGUACAGUCUCACUGAAACUGCAAAAACAUUGGAAUACUGGAAAAAUAUUGCCAGGUCUGAUACAUCUCCAUUUCUACUAAGGCAGGUCACAAUUUUGAAUAAACAGCAUGAAUCCACGGACUCAUUCUGCCUUAUGUCAACAGUCCAGGCUGCUGGUGGUGUAAUGAUUGUUUUCUUGGCAUUCACUGGGCACCCUAUUACCAAUUAAUUUUAUUGUUGCUGACUAUCUGUAUCUCUGUAUGGCCACAGUUUACCCAUUUUUUGGAUUCUUUCAGCAGGAUAAUGUGCCAUAUUACAAAGCAUGUGUCAUCUCAAACUGGUUCCAUGAAUAGGAAAAUGAGUUAAGUCUACUUCAGUGAUCUUUCCAGUCAAAUAACAUGCUUUAUUAAACAUUAUUCCCUGUUUUAGUGUGUUGCCCACUAAAAUAAAUGUAAACAUGUACAACAGUAAUAAUGGUUAAAAUGUCUGAAAUUACCUUCAGAAUUAUACACAGAAUAUUCCAGACAGAAAAUAUAAUACAGAUCACAAAAUCUAGGUCUAAACAUUUUCUUCAAUGAUCAUGAGACAUUUCUUCUUGAUCUGUACACAUGAAACAUUAAAAAUAAUCUUCAACAGUGCCACCCAAGAAACCCUGGGUAAGGUGAAAGUAACAAAAAAAAAAUCAAAGGAUUUAGGCAAUUUCAAGGAUUUCCACAAGACACUGUGCUUGCUACAAAAUCUCCUAAACGUAACAAUGUUCUUAAAAUAAAACAGUCCCUUGGCAUAAAAAAGAAAGCAUUACAUUGCAGUAAACUUGAAAACUUGAGUGUGCCGACAUAACAAUCAACUGAAAAUUUCCUACCCUUAAUUUAAGGACUCUGGUUGGUUGUGGUUCUUAUUAAAAAACACAUAUAAUCAUCAUUCUUUCAUUAUUUAAUAAUUUAAUUAUUAAUACUAGAAAGAAACCAAUAAAAUCAUUUAAACAAAAGGGAUAUGUUAUUCCUACUUCUUUUCCUCAGAUUUUUUAUUGUGCAAUUUGGAGCAAGGAGUUUAAUGACCCACUGAUAGUGGGUAUCACUCAGACAGAGACAAAGACAUCCAGGUAGAGCCUGUCGUAGGAUUCUCUGAAGAACAGUAUGAGGACGAGGCUGAAAACACAGGAUCCCGUCAGGCACCAGUUCAGCCAUGACAGAUCUGUAAAAAUAAAAGUCCACCACAGGAAGGACCCACCUGCAGUGGAGGGGAGAUGAGUGACCCGAGUUAAGCAGGUUAGGGUGAACCAAGUUGAGGCUAAGGAGGCGCCAGCCAGCAUCAGCAACAGUAUGAGCUUUAACAUGCCCCGGAUGGAGUCUGC